rnacentral:rRNA from 1 species
ACGGAAGGCAGCAGUGGGGGAUAUUGCACAAUGGGGGAAACCCUGAUGCAGCGACGCCGCGUGAGUGAAGAAGUAUUUCGGUAUGUAAAGCUCUAUCAGCAGGGAAGAAAAUGACGGUACCUGACUAAGAAGCUCCGGCUAAAUACGUGCCAGCAGCCGCGGUACUACGUAUGGAGCAAGCGUUAUCCGGAUUUACUGGGUGUAAAGGGAGCGUAGACGGCGUGGCAAGUCUGAUGUGAAAGCUAUGGGCUCAACCCAUAAACUGCAUUGGAAACUGUCAUGCUAGAGUGUCGGAGAGGUAAGCGGAAUUCCUAGUGUAGCGGUGAAAUGCGUAGAUAUUAGGAGGAACACCAGUGGCGAAGGCGGCUUACUGGACGAUAACUGACGUUGAGGCUCGAAAGCGUGGGGAGCAAACAGGAUUAGAUACCCUGGUA